rnacentral:rRNA from 1 species
GACGAACGCUGGCGGCGUGCUUAACACAUGCAAGUCGAACGGUGAAAGCGGAGCUUGCUCCGCUGGAUCAGUGGCGAACGGGUGAGUAACACGUGGGCAACCUGCCCCUCACUUCGGGAUAACUCCGGGAAACCGGGGCUAAUACCGGAUAUGACCUCCUUGGGCAUCCUUGGAGGUGGAAAGUUUUUCGGUGAGGGAUGGGCCCGCAGCCUAUCAGCUUGUUGGUGAGGUAGUGGCUCACCAAGGCGACGACGGGGAGCCGGCCUGAGAGGGCGACCGGCCACACUGGGACGGAGACACGGCCCAGACUCCUACGGGAGGCAGCAGUGGGGAAUAUUGCGCAAUGGGCGAAAGCCUGACGCAGCAACGCCGCGUGCGGGAUGACGGCCUUCGGGUUGUAAACCGCUUUCAGCAGGGAAGAAGCCGCAAGGUGACGGUACCUGCAGAAGAAGCACCGGCUAACUACGUGCCAGCCGCCGCAGUAA